rnacentral:tRNA from 1 species
GGGGCUGUAGCUCAGUUGGUAGAGCGCUUGAAUCGCACUCAAGAGGUCCGGGGUUCGAAUCCCCGCAGCUCCA